ensembl:lncRNA LINC01299 long intergenic non-protein coding RNA 1299
AUUUGCUACUGGGACCAUGUUCAGAAUCUGACCAGGGAUGGCCCCUUUCCCAUCCUUCUCUGGUCCCAGCCUUUGCAGAGGAGAGCAUCUGUGAAGUCGAGAUAAUGCCACCAUUGUGUAUUGUGCAUUGUGAACACCCUUCUCUUCCCACAGAACCAUCUAAAUUACAACCAAAGGUCUGAUCAAAGGAUGGCACCCAGUACAUGUGCUGAAUGACUGAAUAGGGGCAGAGUCCCUUCCUGGUCCUGAAACGUGGAAAUUGAUUAUAGCACCAUGCAGGAGUUUCCCCACCCAGUGAGCUGGGGCAGAAGAGGGUCUCACUUUGUCACCCAGGCUGGAAUGCAGUGGCACAAUGUCGGUUCACUUCAACCUCAACCUCCCAGGCUCAAGUGAUCCUCCCACCUCAGUCUCCCAAGUAGCUGAAAUUACAGGAGCCUACCACCACGUCUGGCUAAUUUUUGUAUUUUUAGUAGAGAUGGGGUUUCACUAUGUUGGCCAGGCUGGUUUUCAACUCCUGACCUUAGGUGAUCCACCUGCCUCAGCCUCCCAAAGAGCUGGGAUAAAAGGCGUGAGCCACCGCGCCUGGCCUGAUGCCUGUGUGUCAUUCUCUUCUUUUCUUUUAUAGUCAUGUUAACAAAAGGAGAUGCACAGAAUAGCAACUUUCAGUGAGACUCUACCGAAUUGUUGUAGGGCUUGGUAAAAAGUCCCAUGUGGGAGAACCUUGAGUGUCCAGUGAGAUGAAACACAGAUUACUGAACCAGUAAUCUGUGUUUUUUAUUGGGCAAUACUAGUACAGACUUAACCUAGACACAAGACUGUUAUAAUUCUAUAAAUUUACAGUAUGAUUGAUAUAAUAGCAGGUAGAAACCACGUUCCUUGGCGCUAGUAUCGAGUACAGUUGAAUAACUUUAAAGUGAAAGUUAACAUUUCCAAUCUAGAUUUUGUUAUCAUGGGGAAAAUAAUGAUUGUGAUUGAACAAAUCAAUGCUCGCAUGCAAAAUUUUAGGUGGACUUUUCUGAGAUCUUGUAGAAAAAAAAUAAAUUGGGUUUUUAUUGUCUAACCACAGAUAGAGUAGAGUUUUGUUUUCUGGAUCUGUCUAGUAGAUUACUAAGCUUCCUUGUCCAGUGUGAAUAAAUAAGUUUGUGGGGGCAUGGGUGAUGCAGACAGUUUUAGCAGGACUUGUGUAUUUUACUGGGUAUGAGAGUAGACUUAGCAUAAAGUGCUUGCAAUUUCUCUCCACAAUUGCUGUGCUGACUGAUUCAUAUUCUGGGAAUUAAUUUACUACUGAAUUCCUGGUUGGUGUUAAGAGAAUGGCUUAACUUCUAAUGAUAAAGCUGAGAAAAUAAGGACUUUCUUAACUGAAAUGUGUCCUCCUCAGUCUUGUUCUUGUACUGUGCUCUGUCUCUCCAUCCAUCCUAAGCUCUCUCUAGUCACAACACUUACUCAUUCUUCCAUAAAUAGACUUGUGCCCAAAAGGGGACAGACAAAAGAAGCAUGGCAACAUGUCUUACAGAUUAGCUUUCUCUUUUCUUCCUCUGUCUUCUUUUUUCUGCAAUUCUCAACUACUUCCCUGGCUUCAGGAAUAAUCUCUUAUGAUGAUCAUUCUCAAAUCAGUUUCUCCAGCCUCUACCUUUCUUUUACAUUUCAGUUCUCAAUUCUCAUUUUGUAGGUAUCUCAAACACAACAUAUCUAAAAUCAAUUUUAUUCCCUGCUAUUCCCCUGCUCCUCCACCUUUCAAUCCCUCUCCCACCCUGCUCCCACUCCUGAAAUUCCAUUUUCAUGUAAAGGCUUCACCACCCGCCUCCUCACUCUACUCAACCUUUUGUAAAACCUCUCUCAUCUCCAUUUCCAGUUAGUUUCCAAGUCCAGUCAAUUUUACAUGAUAUCCUACAUGGACUCGUUCACUGAGCUUAAUUAUUAUUAGCAAACAUUAACGCAUAUUGUGUUAUUUCUACAGAAAUCAGCAAAAGGUCCUGGGGUAUCCUCUGUGUGGAAAAUAACCAUGAUGCAUCUUCAGUGUUGUAGUCUGACUCUAUCACCCAGGCUGGAGUGCAGUGUGGCUGGAGGUGAAGUUCAGAGAUACGGUGUCUUUCCUGAGUUGUGCAGCUCACGCAUGGAGGGAUCAGGAUGGGAACUGAAGCCUGCAUGGCUCAAAGUCUUUGCUUUGAAGUGCUGCAAAUAUGGCUUCCUGAGGAGGACUGCCCUGGACUGCAAAUUUGUAUUACACAGACAAUACCUUUUCCCAGUGCCUUCUUCUGGACUUAUGUCUAUGUAUUUAGUAAAUAACUUAUGAGUUUGUUUUUAAAAAACCUAUUGAGGGCUGGGCAUGGUGGCUCAUGCCUGUAAUCCCAGCACUUUGGGAGGCCGAGGCGGGUGAUCACUUGAGGUCAGUAGUUCGAGACCCACCUGGACAACAUAGUGAAACCCUGUCUCUACUAAGAAUAUAAAAAUUAGCUGGGUAUGGUGGCACACGCCUGUAAUCCCAGCUACUCAGGAGGCUGAGGCAGGAGAAUCACUUGAAGCCAGGAGGCGGAGGUUGCAGUGAGCCGAGAUCGUGCCACUGCACUCCAGCCUGGGCGACAGAGUGACUCUGUCUCAAAAAAACAAAACAAAACAAAACAAAAAAGCAAAAAACAAAACAAAACAAAAAAAACUAUUGAAAUGUUUUACAGGGAGAGGAAUAGGAGAUUAAGGGGAAAUGCUACUUGCUGGAGGCCAGUGGAGAGGUAAAGAGGUUGGUUACAAUGGCUCAGCAACCUCACUUGGUUUGCCUGGCCUGCAAUUACUGGGAACAUAGAAUGAGGUAACUCAUCAUAGAGGACAACUGUUAAAUGGACAAGGAUGAGGGGAAAACAUCUGUUGUACAAAAUUACUUGUUGUGAAAUACUUGUAAUAAACUACUUGU